AGUGAACGCUGGCGGUGGGCCUAACACAUGCAAGUCGAACGGCAGCAUAGGAGCUUGCUCCUGAUGGCGAGUGGCGAACGGGUGAGUAAUAUAUCGGAACGUGCCCUAGAGUGGGGGAUAACUAGUCGAAAGAUUAGCUAAUACAGCAUACGAUCUACGGAUGAAAGUGGGGGAUCGCAAGACCUCAUGCUCCUGGAGCGGCCGAUAUCUGAUUAGCUAGUUGGUGGGGUAAGAGCCUACCAAGGCGACGAUCAGUAGCUGGUCUGAGAGGACGACCAGCCACACUGGGACUGAGACACGGCCCAGACUCCUACGGGAGGCAGCAGUGGGGAAUUUUGGACAAUGGGGGCAACCCUGAUCCAGCAAUGCCGCGUGAGUGAAGAAGGCCUUCGGGUUGUAAAGCUCUUUUGUCAGGGAAGAAACGGUUCUGGAUAAUACCCAGAGCUAAUGACGGUACCUGAAGAAUAAGCACCGGCUAACUACGUGCCAGCCGCCGCCGUAA
rnacentral:rRNA from 1 species